CCAGGAGGUCCCGGAAGACCAGGACAUCCUCUUAGUAUGGUCAGCUUGUCAGAUUCCCCAACUCCAAUGAUCUUCACUUCUGUUGGUGUAGACCACAAGAGAAAGAAUUAAGGAGUCUGGACAAAUUUAAAUAACCAUGUAUCACAUAGAGUGAAAUAGCAUAAAAAGAAUUAAGACAAAGACAAGAAAAAGUGUACAAGUAGUAUCUGGUUAGUAGGUAUUCAAAAUAUGAUACUAAAAAAUUGCGCCUUGAAAAAACAAAACCAUGUAGGAAAACGUACGUUAUGGAGGACGGCACAUCACCAAGAGGAGCAAAGAACCGUCAUUAAACACGGCAGUGUCUCUGAUCAGGUCCGGUCAAACUAGUGUCAGUAAAGCAAACAAUAUAAACUAUAUCAGUUUAUUAUCCGGAGUAAUCCUUUCUUUUAUGUUUUGCCACUGGUUUUGAAUGCCCCGAGUGAAUGUUAUAUGUGCCAUUAUAUUGCAUGGCUUUUAAAGUUAUUAUAAAAGAUAUGUGAAUAAAUCUUUAUAGAAGAGUUCCUGCUUUUUACAGGAGA